rnacentral:rRNA from 1 species
UACGGGGGGAGCAAGCGUUGUUCGGAUUUACUGGGCGUAAAGGGCUCGUAGGCGGUUUGUCGCGUCGGGAGUGAAAACUCAGGGCUUAACCCUGAGCCUGCUCCCGAUACGGGCAGGCUAGAGUUCGGUAGGGGAGACUGGAAUUCCUGGUGUAGCGGUGAAAUGCGCAGAUAUCAGGAGGAACACCGGUGGCGAAGGCGGCUCUGGCCGAUACUGACGCUGAGGUGCGAAAGCGUGGGA